rnacentral:rRNA from 1 species
UACGUAGGGUGCAGGCGUUAAUCGGAAUUACUGGGCGUAAAGCGUGCGCAGGCGGUCUGCUAAGAGAGGUGUGAAAAUCCCCCGGGCUUUAACCUGGGAACUGCGCUUCUAACUGGCAGGCUAGAGUGUGGCAGAGGGGGGGGUGGAAUUCCACGUGUAGCAGUGAAAUGCGUAGAUAUGUGGAGGAAUACCGAUGGCGAAGGGCAGCCCCCU